rnacentral:lncRNA from 1 species
UGCCUAUAAUAAUUUUUUUUUAAAUAUGCACUUAAAAUCUGUCUUCUUCUAAUCAGGUGUAAUCAACUUUUAAGUGGGUAAAACUCCUACAUUGAAAGAGGACAAUUUUCUGCUCUUUGGUCAGGUUGUUUGUUGUCUCUUUGACACAUUCCCCUUUUCUAUUCUCAAUUUUAUUAGUUACUAUUUAUUUCUUUGAUGCAUUUAAGCUAAAAAUACUUUUUGCUUAUUAUUCAGGUAGUUUAAGAGGUAAAAUUCAAUUCAAAUUC